AUUAAGCUGUACGCUCUGUGCGUUGCAGAUAAUUGCUCGAGGUAGUUUGCGGGGGCAAGCGCUGAUCACUGGCUUAUAAAAAGAAAGGGCAGCGAGCCCUCUCUUCAACGUGUGGGGUGUGUUUAGAAGACCUGUGAGACUGCUGAAAACACCCGAUAUGCCGAGCAGCGCUCGAGUGGAGUCGGCGACACGCGUGCAGGCUGCGUGUCUCAAAGCGCGGGACCUGUUGAGGUUCACAAAGUUAUGGUGCUGCCGUGCUUGAGUUUUGCACUCAAGUCAGACGAUGUCUACGGAUAGGCGUUUGCAUCCUCAGCGGAUGACGAUCACGCCUAACGACUAUUCAGAAGCGUUUCCGGGGCAAAAAAACGCUUCUGCAUAGAUUACUUUGUUUCUGCCGCAAAAGUCUACUGGAGGACUGUUUCAAGUUCAUAUUACCGCAUCGAUAGAGGCAGAACUGCGGUUUAGAGCUAACCGUAUAUCACGGAACAGAGACACUUGGUGUACGGCUCACUGGAGCGCUCGCACGGUAUCCUCGGAUGUGUAUACACGGCCUGAUCCUGCUCUUACGCAAGUAGACCCGUUGUCGGCGAGCGUGGAUAUGUUCCCGUGGCAAUUGAGGAUCGGUCAAUAUUCGGAAGAUAAUUUUUCUGGCAGUGAAACCGUCAGCAAUGUAAUUUUGAAGACUCGGACCCAGGAGCUCACAGAAUGCAUCUCACUUGGGGCAGCUGCAGGAUGCUCGCUGACUUGCACCAUCUGCGAAUACCCAGGAUAAUUGACGAGAAUCUGGAAAUGAGCGCAUGGACAACACGAAACGGAGUACAAACGAGUAUGAAAAUGCAAAAAUGUAUAUAGGAUCGAUAGCGAUGCAUUCGUUCGAUGCAUGCUUCGCAAAACUGCAUGCAGUAUAUGGAUCCGAUGUGAUACCAGCGUGUUGUUGAAUUGGAAGCAUGCUCACGCAACGGUGGAGAGCUAUCGAUGAAUUGCAUCCUCUGCGAUCCUGCAUGGAAUGGUUAGGUGCGACUACAAAGCAGCUUAGGGCGCUACGUUGGCCAGUUGGCACCUGCUUGCCGAGCGGCCUAUUUUUCAAGUCUGCGUUUAGCUCUUCCUGUACCUGGUGGCCGCCAGCGUGCACAAGCUGGCUCUAGAAAUCGAGCAGCCACCAACAGGUUUCUGGAAUGGGCUCAUUUGGAAAAUCUCGUAAGUAAAGAAUACGUCUAGCAUCGAGUUUCAAUCACGACAUCAGCGAGCAACGCAGACUCGGGACGGUUUUCUCUUUCGGGCACACGGUCCUUCAUGGACUUUUAGACUCGUUUCAGUAAAGAAAUAGAAAAG